rnacentral:rRNA from 1 species
GCGGCGGACGGGUGAGUAACACGUGGGUAACCUGCCUGUAAGAUUGGGAUAACUCCGGGAAACCGGAGCUAAUACCGGAUAACAUUUUGAACCGCAUGGUUCAAAAUUGAAAGAUGGCGUCUAGCUAUCACUUACAGAUGGACCCGCGGCGCAUUAGCUAGUUGGUGAGGUAACGGCUCACCAAGGCAACGAUGCGUAGCCGACCUGAGAGGGUGAUCGGCCACACUGGGACUGAGACACGGCCCAG